ACGUAGGUGGCAAGCGUUGUCCGGAUUUACUGGGUGUAAAGGGCGCGUAGGCGGGAUUGCAAGUCAGAUGUGAAAUACCGUGGCUUAACUGCGGGGCUGCAUUUGAGACUGUGAUUCUUGAGUAUCGGAGAGGCAGGCGGAAUUCCCAGUGUAGCGGUGAAAUGCGUAGAUAUUGGGAGGAACACCAGUGGCGAAGGCGGCCUGCUGGACGACAACUGACGCUGAGGCGCGAAAGCGUGGGGAGCAAACAG
rnacentral:rRNA from 1 species